rnacentral:rRNA from 1 species
UACGGAGGGCGCGAGCGUUAAUCGGAAUUACUGGGCGUAAAGCGCGCGUAGGCUGUUGUGUAAGUUGGGGGUGAAAUCCCACGGCUCAACCGUGGAACAGCCCUUGAUACUGCGCGACUUGAAUCCGGGAGAGGGUGGCGGAAUUCCAGGUGUAGGAGUGAAAUCCGUAGAUAUCUGGAGGAACAUCAGUGGCGAAGGCGGCCACCUGGACCGGUAUUGACGCUGAGGCGCGAAAGCGUGGGGAGCAACCAGG